ACUGAACUCAGUCUUCAGCAGUGAUGUACAUACAUAAAGAAGCGUUACCUGUGAGUUGUGAUACUUUGAGGAAGUGGAAAUACAGAGUUACAGCAAUUCAGAAAUGCCUGAAAUCCUAGAAUCGGCCACUAGAGUGCAGCUGAACUCUAUUCAGGGAACAGAAAUAGUCAAAUAUGUAUUGAAAUGCUGUGAAAACAAACAAAAGUAACUUGAUUUAUUGCAGUAAUAAUACUAUUGUAUGCAGAGUGUGCACGUGUGUAUAUAUAUACAUAUAUAUAUAUAUAAAGGAGACUGCAAAACCUGUUUUGUCUGCAGAAACAACUUUGUAGCCUGUACAAAAGGCUUAGCUUUGUUUUUCAACAGAUUCUCACUUGAAGAUACUGUGUCCUUGUAUCACUUAAUGUUUGCCCAUAUCCUACACUCCUGUUCUGAGAGAACCAAUAGCCAUUCAUGGGGCUGACCAGCUUCACCUGGCACCUCUAAUCAUUCCCUGCCUAUGCCUUGGGGCUGUAUUUAAACUCAGCUCAGGCUUCUGUGAUGAUUUUGUUACUGAAGAGUCCAAAGAUCAUGAAGAGGUCUCUUCAGAUUUGAUGCCAGCAUCUCCCACUGCUUAUUCUUGGUGAAAACAGAGGCACUGGAACAGUUCAGGCCGCUCCUCAUUGUGGUUAGAAAACACAGGGAGAACACAGCCCCUGAAAUGAGACCUCAAACACAAAACUGCCUGUUGGCACAAAUGGAGUGUCUAGCAAUGACAAAAGCUUCUAAAAAUAAAUCUUGAUAAGAUCACUUGCAAGAAAACAUACUGUUCUUGGCUUCCCUGUGAGAUUGAUGCUGGAUGGAACCUUUUAAUCUGAACUUUAGAAAUCAAUAGGUAUUUUUGAAGAAAUAGCACAGCUUUCACUAGUGUGACAGCCAUCUUUUUGUAUUGGUGCUUUCUCUCUUCCCAUUUCUUGCCUAAAGCAGAAGGCUACGAUGGUGUUUUUCUGUUACACCCUGAGCAGAAUUGUGCUGAUAUUUAUGUAUUUGUAAUUAUUCUGUGCUGUGCUCCUAAACUUUUGUUCCAGAUUAAGUUGAGGCUGUGGAAACUAUCCUGUUUGUAAUGACAUUCUUAUUUAACAAAUAGUGAUAAUUGGAAUAAUUUCUUAACCUAUACUCAGCUUUCUUGGGAUAGAAUGUUUUAACUAAAGCAGACCAGGCCACUGUAAUUACUGUCGUAACUGAAGUAGAAAAACUGAAGUUAAGGACUUAAGCACUUAAAGCUAAUUGAAAAUUUGCUUUUGAUUCCACUGAAAACAAUUUUACUUUUUUAAUCACUUGACUUGAGUUUUCCAAUUGGAAGUUAUGGCAGCUACAGUUAAUUGAAACCCUUGGGUUGAUACACAGAGGGGCUCCAGGAUGCGGAGGCAGAAACUGGAUAUUUUUAUGGCUUGAUGUCUACCAGAAGUGCUUCUCAAAUGUGCAGGCAUUGGUUUUUAUGCUUAACAGCCAACUGCUUUGCUAUAACUGAAUACCAGGCUUCUCCCUUUUCUUUCUUGGACAACCUGUAACCUUAUGUGGAAAUUCAGUCUGAAUUUCAACUGAUUUGAAAGCUUUCUUAUUGAAUUAAGAUGACCGUGAAUGCAAAUUUCUGUGGCUACAAGCUAAUUUGGUUUUGUAGUGGAAAUAUUGACAUCUUAAUGUAUUUCCUAUAUCUCCUAACAAAAGGACAGCAGACAUCUGUCUGACACAACGUAGAUCAGAGUAAAGUUGAUAUAUAAUUUAUA